UACGAAGGGUGCAAACGUUGCUCGGAAUUAUUGGGCGUAAAGCGCACGUAGGCGGCUUGGCAAGUCGGAUGUGAAAUCCCACGGCUCAACCGUGGAAGUGCACUCGAAACUGCAUAGCUAGAGUCCUGGAGAGGAAGGUGGAAUGCUUGGUGUAGAGGUGAAAUUCGUAGAUAUCAAGCGGAACACCGGUGGCGAAGGCGGCCUUCUGGACAGUGACUGACGCUGAGACACGAAAGCGUGGGGAGCAAACAGG
rnacentral:rRNA from 1 species